CCUACGGGAGGCAGCAGUGGGGAAUAUUGGGCAAUGGGCGCAAGCCUGACCCAGCAACGCCGCGUGAAGGAAGAAGGCUUUCGGGUUGUAAACUUCUUUUCUCAGGGACGAAGCAAGUGACGGUACCUGACGAAUAAGCCACGGCUAACUACGUGCCAGCAGCCGCGGUAAUACGUAGGUGGCAAGCGUUAUCCGGAUUUAGUGGGUGUAAAGGGCGUGUAGGCGGGAAAGCAAGUCAGAUGUGAAAACCAUGGGCUCAACCCAUAGCCUGCAUUUGAAACUGUUUUUCUUGAGUGCUGGAGAGGCAGACGGAAUUCCUAGUGUAGCGGUGAAAUGCGUAGAUAUUCGGAGGAACACCAGUGGCGAAGGCGGAUUGCUGGACAGCAACUGACGCUGAGGCGCGAAAGCGUGGGGAGCAAACAGGAUUAGAUACCCGAGUAGUC
rnacentral:rRNA from 1 species